UACGGAGGGUGCGAGCGUUAAUCGGAAUAACUGGGCGUAAAGGGCACGCAGGCGGUCUUUUAAGUCAGAUGUGAAAUCCCCGGGCUUAACCUGGGAAUAGCAUUUCAGACUGGGAGUCUAGAGUCCUGUAGAGAGGGGUAGAAUUCCACGUGUAGCGGUGAAAUGCGUAGAGAUGUGGAGGAAUACCGGAGGCGAAGGCAGCCCCUUGGGAAUGGACUGACGCUCAGGUGCGAAAGCGUGGGGAGCAAACAGG
rnacentral:rRNA from 1 species